CUCAACUCAUAGUUGUCUGAUGGUUACCUUUUUAUUGUACUAUAACUCAGAAACUUUCUCAUAGCAUAAAGCUUGUAUAUUUGUAAACUUUACCUUAUUUGUCUCCCACCAUCACUGUAUUUCAUUAUCUAAUGUCCAGUUUCUCAUUUUAUAUAUUUUUCAUGAUUUUUGGUUACCUCAGUCAAGAAAAUAAUAUGAUCCCUGUUACUCCAUCUUGCUUUGAAAUGGUUGUCUCUGACACAUUUUCCUUAGCCAUGUCUAUUUUGUCUAUUUUUUUCACACCCAAAUUUCUUUGUUUAGAUUCAUCCAUUUAAUUUUCUUUUGUUCUUCAUUAUCGACAGGUAUUUUCAUGACAAAUCACUAGAUAAUAUCUGGAGUUUCGGAAAUAUUUGUUUGAUGGUUAUUAGUGUAUAGCUUCUAUUAAAGUCAUGGUACUAAAUAAGAUUGCCUUAUGUAAAAAUUAAAAAUAGAGAAUAAUAUUUAGAAUUUAUUCCUAUCUAUGUGAUACUUGAAUUAAUGGGUUUUAUAUAAAUGAUUUCACAUAUAUUUGCAUGCAAGUUGACCUGAGUUUUAUAUGCUUAUCCCCUUUUUAAUCCUGAAUAAGCAUUGAGCACCAGGACUAUGACUUUACCAUCUGUCCUGCCAGGAUAAAGUGUGUAGUUAAGGAGGAAAUCAGUGAUGAGUGGUGAAUGUAGCAUGGAAGAAAGAGCAUGGGGGUGAGAAGCUGAAAUGAUACUUUCCCAUCUUAUCCAUAUUAUUUUAUUCUGAAAACAGUUUGUAUGUUUGCAAUCCUAGUCAACCAGAAUAAAUAAAUAAUUAUUUGCUUUAUCUUUGCCAAGAAACAAAGUUCAAUUCCCAACCAACAAAUUAAGGAUUUAGAUGGAUUUUUUUAAUUGGUUAUGUAUCUUCAAAACACUAAGGUUCCCAUGCGUAUAAGUUUACUAUAAGCAAGAUGCAUGCUUAUUUGUAUACAGUGUUAUGAAACAGUUCACGUGAACUUUAUGGAAUGUGGUCAUCUGAAUGGUUUCUGGUUAUGGGAAUUAUAUAAGUAAACUGAAAAAAAAAUACUUGAUCUUUUUAAGGAUGCUCUGUAAUAGCAAAACCAAAUGUUCGCAUUAAUAUAAAAGGUCAUUUUUAAAAAAUUAAAUUGUUUUUGAAAUUUUACUCUUGCCUAAAUAGAGGUCCUAAUUUGUUUGGUGAGGGAUUUGAUAAUCUUUGAAGAGACUAGGAAACAUGGAGUCUAUUAGAACCUUGAAUUAUGAGAAUCUGGUGGAAUUCCUCUGAGUUAAAAAGAGAAGAGGAGAUUUUCUUUCAGAAAAGAGAAGGGAGAGGCUAUUUGAGAAUAACAGCUGGAUUGGGGUCAAGGAAAUGGAAAAUAUAAAGAAGGAGUUUGGGGGAGAAGAUUACUUGGUGAAUGAGUGUCUGUUAAAUCAUUUGCUGUUUAGUGUACAACAUAACUAUCCCUUUUUGUUUUACGAAACAUUUAGCAAUGUCAAUAUGGCUCACUAGAGAUUUGGGCAGAAGAUUUUCUUUCCUUAGAAAAUGAUGAAGUUCAGGGUCUAGAUUAAGGGUUGGGAUGAGACAGACCCAAAAGGUCUCCAAAAGGACAGAGCUUUUACAGGGGAAGUACAGUUUUACAGAAACACUGAAGACUUAGGUACUCUAUAUAGCACUGGGAAUGCUGGGACAAGUUGCUUUCUAACCAAAAUUUUGUGUGGCUGUUUCAGAUUGGUAUACAAAGUUUCCUAUGCUGUAUUCAAUAAAGUGUUACAAAUAACGCAGAUCACCUUGCUAGUCUAUAUUACUAUUCAACCAGCAAAGUAAAUUUAGGCAAAAACUUUUUCAUGACUAUCUCCUAUGACUGUUUUGAAGAUUAUAUUUGUAAAAUUAUUUCAAAAUAUUUCUACAAUGAAAUAUCUUUGGAGCUUGUAUAGCUUAGGGCCUGAGAUCCUAUUCACAUCCGACAAUUUCUCUUAGAUUUUUUUUUUAGAUGGUCCUCGUUUCCAAUGAAGUUGAUGGCACCUAAAUGUUUCUGCAAGUUGACAGAGUUCAAAAAAGAUAGAGGUUGUUCUCCAAAGAACAAAGGAAAAUUGGGUAAUAGAAAAGUGAGAUUGUUUCUUAGAGGUGGACUCCCUGUUGAUAAACUGGAAUGGACUGUGAAGUUGUUAUAGGCUUUUUAAGAUGAAUGAAAAAACAUUUCAAUGCUUUCAAAUAAAGGGGAACAAAAGGCAACUUCCUAUGAGAAUUUUUAAACAAGAGUCAAAUGGAAUAAUGCAUUUAAUUCCUCAUUGUCCCUGCAUUUUUUAAGUUUGAAAAGUACAUGAUAAUUAUCUAUGUUGUUUGAUGAUUCACUGAUAAAUGUGAUAUUUAUGAGCAUAGUGGAAAUUUUGUUAUCUCUAGGGUAAAGAAUGGCUUGGAGAAACUCUGUCAACAUUUGUAUUUGUAUUAGAAUCAACAUAACAAUGCUAUUAUGCCAAAAAUAGAAAGUAUUUUAAUUGGAUUUCAAUUGUAUUUUAUUUUAAAAACUGUUAAUAGCAUGUGUUCUCUUCCCAUGAGUCAUUUUAUCUGAAAAUGUUAGUAUUUUUUUCCUUCAACUGUGUAUGAUGGGCUCAGCUUUUAUUUUAGGCCAAAGAAUGGACCAGCUAGCUAAUGUCUUGAUGACCAUGAUACAGAUGUUUCAGUAGCAAUAUUUUGAGUGCAGAUGGCCUAGGUGAAAUUGACAGUGGUGGGAAAUGGAAGCAUCACCUAAUUUUGAGGUAUAUAUGACUUUUAACAUUGAGAUAGUAACAGAUAGCACUUCAUCCAGCUCUUGGGAUUAUUUCUACUUUGUAGUUGCUAAUCUCUCUCAAUUGCAAUUUGUCCCAACUCUGCUGAUGAGGCCCAGCAACUUUUAUCAGUUCUCUUGGAAAACUAAACUAUAGGCUUAAAGUGACGAAAGACUAUAUUUAUUGUUAAGUAAUAUCUAAUCUUGUUAAGAUAUUAAGUAAUAUCUAAUUCAUUUUUUCAAAUAUCUUUCUUGUAAGUUAUCUCAUACUUAUUUAUUUUUCCUAAUUAGAGAUGAGGAAACUAAAGAUCAUAAAGCCCAAAUGGUCUUCCCUUGAUCACAAAAUUACCAAGUAAUUUUGUCAGCCAUUCAAGAAGCUGUCAUCAUAUUGAACAAGGCAUAUCGAAUAAGAUAAUAGUGUGGCAUUUGGGGCACUGGGAAGCCCACAGUCGAUUCACUGUUGGGAGCUCCCUCCAAGCACACAGUCAACCUCAAGACAUUGAGGGAUUAGUGUAGGACUGGGUGCAUACAACUGGCUAUGCUACAGGAUCAUUGGUACAAGUCCCAUAUCAUAAAAUGAUUUAAAACUUCUGAAACGAAAGGAAGAGGACCUAAACUUUCUGUAAUCUGGGAUCACUGUAAGGUGAAUUGAUAUUUUAAUAGGAUAGAAUGUAUGCAAUGGUCAUUCUUGUCUCAGUCAUCACAGGAGAGAUAAUAAGUUCUUGAAUGAUAAUUUGUGGCAAUAGUGAUGAAGAAAAUUUUCAAUCUGGAAUUUAGAAGGUAGGUGAUGGAUAUUUGUGAGUCAUUAACAUAAUUUUUACAAUUUUAAUUUAUUUUGUGAUUGAGUUUACAUAAAAGAGAGAAAAUUUAACACAAAGAAUUUCAAAUUGGUUAAUUUUCCUAUAUAAACCCUAAGGGAUCUUCUUGUCCUUGGUAGUGUGUACUUAUCAGAG
rnacentral:lncRNA from 1 species